rnacentral:rRNA from 1 species
UUAAUUGGUGACUUGUAUGAAUGAUUGGAUGAAAUAUAAACUGUCUCUUAAUUAAUUUAUAAAAUUUAAUUUUUUAGUUAAAAAGCUAAAAUAAUUUAAAAAGACGAGAAGACCCUAUAGAGUUUUAUAAUUAAUUUAUUAAUUUUUUUUUAUUUAUUAUAAAAUUAUUAAUAUUUUAAUUAUUUUGUUGGGGUGAUAGAAAAAUAAAAUUAACUUUUUUUUUAUUUAAACAUAAAUAAGUGAUUAAUUGAUCCAUUAAUAAUGAUUAUCAGAAAAAAUUACCUUAGGGAUAACAGCGUAAUUUUUUUUUUUAGUUCAAAUAAGAAAAAAAGUUUGCGACCUCGAUGUUGGAUUAAGAUAAAAUUUAAAUGUAAAAGUUUAAAAUUUUUGAUCUGUUCGAUCAUUAAAAUCUUACGUGAU